rnacentral:rRNA from 1 species
AUUGAACGCUGGCGGCAUGCCUUACACAUGCAAGUCGAACGGCAGCAUGGAGAGCUUGCUCUCUGAUGGCGAGUGGCGAACGGGUGAGUAAUGCAUCGGAACGUACCGUGUAAUGGGGGAUAACGUAGCGAAAGUUACGCUAAUACCGCAUACGACCUGAGGGUGAAAGCAGGGGAUCGCAAGACCUUGCGUUAUACGAGCGGCCGAUGUCAGAUUAGCUAGUUGGUGAGGUAAAGGCUCACCAAGGCGACGAUCUGUAGCGGGUCUGAGAGGAGGGUCAGCCACACUGGGACUGAGACACGGCCCAGACUCCUACGGGAGGCAGCAGUGGGGAAUUUUGGACAAUGGGGGCAACCCUGAUCCAGCCAUGCCGCGUGAGUGAAGAAGGCCUUCGGGUUGUAAAGCUCUUUCGGCCGGGAAGAAAUCGCACAGGCUAAUACUCUGUGUGGAUGACGGUACCGGCAUGAGAAGCACCGGCUAACUACGUGCCAGCAGCCGCCGUAA